CCUAAAUAGACGAGAAAAGAUGCCAGAACCAUUACAGAAGAUUUGCUGUAUUCAUCUGAAGUUGAGAUUCGGGCAUUUCAGCAGGUUGGGCUUGCAUUAGCAAGGUUUACAGAAAGAUCACAAUCGAAUCACCAUAAUGAACGAGAAGAGCCACAAAGACUGGGCUGAUAAUGAAUAACAGAUACACGGAAAAUGUUCAGCUUCAUUCCGAAGGAAAAUAUGCAAAAUGUUUGAACAAGCAGAG